rnacentral:rRNA from 1 species
UACAGAGGGUGCAAGCGUUAAUCGGAAUUACUGGGCGUAAAGCGUGCGUAGACGGUUAUGUAAGUCGGGUGUGAAAGCCCCGGGCUCAACCUGGGAAUGCCAUUCGAGACUGCAUAGCUAGGGUGCGGAAGAGGGAAGCGGAAUUUCCGGUGUAGCGGUGAAAUGCGUAGAUAUCGGAAGGAACACCAACGGCGAAAGCACUCUGCUGGGCCGACACUGACACUGAGAGACGAAAGCUAGGGGAGCGAAUGGG